rnacentral:rRNA from 1 species
AUUGAACGCUGGCGGCAGGCCUAACACAUGCAAGUCGAGCGGAUGAAGGGAGCUUGCUCCUGGAUUCAGCGGCGGACGGGUGAGUAAUGCCUAGGAAUCUGCCUGGUAGUGGGGGAUAACGUCCGGAAACGGGCGCUAAUACCGCAUACGUCCUGAGGGAGAAAGUGGGGAUCUUCGGACCUCACGCUAUCAGAUGAGCCUAGGUCGGAUUAGCUAGUUGGUGGGGUAAAGGCCUACCAAGGCGACGAUCCGUAACUGGUCUGAGAGGAUGAUCAGUCACACUGGAACUGAGACACGGUCCAGACUCCUACGGGGGGCAGCAGUGGGGAAUAUUGGACAAUGGGCGAAAGCCUGAUCCAGCCAUGCCGCGUGUGUGAAGAAGGUCUUCGGAUUGUAAAGCACUUUAAGUUGGGAGGAAGGGCAGUAAGUUAAUACCUUGCUGUUUUGACGUUACCAACAGAAUAAGCACCGGCUAACUUCGUG